UGUGACUGCAAAGGCUUUAGAUGCCUUCACAAGUUGUGCUCGCUUGCUCUAGUAGAAGAUGCUCGAUUUUGCAAUGUGAAGUUGUUGAUCUUGGACCAUUGGGGACUCCCGUUCAACAUCCAAAUUGGAGAGGACUAGGCGUUUUCAAGAGAGUACAACAGCAACUUGGUACAUCCCUUCUUGCAGCUUGACGGGAGACAUUCAGAGUAUUCCUAAGCGAGCUUGAUCGACGAGCAAUAUCCCCACUUUGCAACAUGCGAGCGAGAACAUGGUGCAUCUCAGCCUUGCGACUUGGCAAGAAAGAGGCUUGGAGCUCGACUUUUGAAGCUGACUUGCAAAGAAGUUCUAUGAGUCCAUAUAUCAGUCUGAGAUGUCAUACAAGAUGCGGAGUCACCCCUUCACCAACUGUUGCACUUGAUUUGUUGACGGUUUUGAAGUUUAUCAAUGGCGGCUCUCGUGGUGAUUGAAGGUUUUUCAAGAGAGAUGACUUCUUAUAUACGAGGCAUUGAGGAUAGUGUAUUAAAAUGUGGAGACGUCAUAUGGACUUGGAAGAAGCAUUCGAGACGAGUCGGCCACAAAGCCUAGUUUACGAUCAUUUUCAUGACUUAGGCUUUUGUAUAGGAAAACGUCUAAUUCCUUUUGUCUCUACAUUUUUUGAUGUAUCAACUUUUGUCCUA